AGAGCGAACGCUGGCGGCAUGCUUAACACAUGCAAGUCGCACGGGUAGGGGAAACCCUGUCAGUGGCGGACGGGUGAGUAACGCGUAGGUAUCUAUCCUUGGGUGGGGGACAACGGCUGGAAACGGCUGCUAAUACCGCAUGAUGACCGAGGUCUAAAGGCGCAAGUCGCCUGGGGAGGAGCCUGCGUACGAUUAGCUUGUUGGUGGGGUAAAGGCCUACCAAGGCUACGAUCGUUAGCUGGUCUGAGAGGAUGAUCAGCCACAUUGGGACUGAGACACGGCCCAAACUCCUACGGGAGGCAGCAGUGGGGAAUAUUGGACAAUGGGCGCAAGCCUGAUCCAGCAAUGCCGCGUGUGUGAAGAAGGUCUUCGGAUUGUAAAGCACUUUCGACGGGGACGAUGAUGACGGUACCCGUAGAAGAAGCCCGGCUAACUUCGCGCCAGCAGCCGC
rnacentral:rRNA from 1 species